AAUAAUAAUAUCGCAUAAAGCGAGUAUAAUUAUACCUUUUUGUCAGUAUUAUAUCAGCAUCAACUCUAUGUGCAUAUUCCUCCUUUCCUCCUCAACUUGCUUCACACAUUAGUUUACUAACUUUGCUACACUUUGUAUAUAUGUGAAUGAGUGUUGUAAUAAUAAUAAAUUUAAACCUUCGGCCUUCUCUUUGUCCUUGCACCUGAAAAUGCGGACACACUGUUUAUAUCCUAACCUUACCUAAUGUGAUGUUGACUCUUAAUUUUACAUUUGUUUAUUUUUUACUUACUUGCGUUAUUUGAUUGUAAGCAAAAUUGGAUAAAAUCUAGAGAUGCAAUUUGCAACGACUGUUUCUUGUUGUUUUUUUAUCUAAGCUUCUUCCUUCUUCCGGAGGUGUUGAUGGUUUUUUGCAUCUUUUGUUUUGUGCAAUGCAGAAUAUUGACUAUUGAGGAAUGUAGUAAAUUGAAAAUUAUUAAAUUAUGCAAAAUGGAAAAGUGUGCUGUGAUGUUUGAUAUUUUUGUAUCUCAAUUAAAUUCUAGCCCCCAGUCAUAAGUAUAAAUUAAUUGCGGUUUAGUAAUUAUGUUGCAAAACCCUAAAUUGGUUCAAACUUUUUCGACCAGAUAAAAAGUGAUGUUUGAACUUUUAAAAUUUCCAAAAAAUGUGGCAUUACCUUAUCGAAAGAUCCUUGGCGGAAACCUGGUGCAUUUUGCAGUAUAUUAUAUUGUAACCUCAAGUAACUUGCAAUGUUUCGUUCGAACUUUUCAAUCAAAUCAAAUUACAUUACACACCUCUUGACUUUACCUAACUUUGUAGUCUGCUCACCGAAUGUUAAACUCGCAACCACCCAAGACCAAUGUCACCGAUAAUAGGUUGUUAGAGUUGUUGAAAUCGUUGUCGCACCAAAACAUUACGUACAAUGGUUAAAUCUUUAUAAACUUGAAGAUCUCAAUUAACCAAGCAAAUCUUAUUAAACUCAAAAAUUGUGAACACUUAAAACUUGCGAAAAUUGAGCUUUUUUGCCCUGAAAGAAUGAUGAGGAAAUUCCGAUCAAAGUCGUUUUACUUGCAAUUAAACAAAAUAUUCUUUUAAAACUUGUGUUAUUUGGAAAUUGUAGAUCAGAAACAGAGCGAACGAUCCUCUCAAAAUUGUGAUAACCGGAAACGUUGUUCGUGCUGGAUCUCUGCUGAUGCGCGCUUUCCCUCCAAAUUUAAAAAGUUUACUGAUUUGCCGGCUCGUGCCUCGCUCUUUGUGUUUGAUUGUUGAGUAAUUAAUUAAUUAACUAAACUAAACAAUUGUUCACAAUUAACAAUUAACUGGUAAUUUUUCAUUGCAUGUUUGUAAUCGAGGUUCGUACGCCUUCAACUAAGCGAACUAGUCACUAGUUGCGGUUUUUGACACGGAGUACGGAGAGAGGGGUGAACAAGUUAACGAGCAGCGGAAUCACUCACAUGCAAACAACAAUACUUUUUCGAAACUUGCCAAACCUGAAACUUGUGUGAUUCUUUGGAGUUGAAGUAAAAGGCCCAUGUACACGUUAAGGAAAUGGUUACUAUCAGAAAUCUGGUUUUCUUUUGCUAUGUCUCUUAUCAAUUAUUGCACUUGACACAUUUUUAGGCUUCGUUGAUUGCUCGCUUAUCCGCCGGUUCAAGAUAAGAAGUAAUCUUUUGAGGUUUGUGGAACCUUCUUGAUUGACGAAUCGACGAAUAAAACGACGUGGAAGAAUACUCUACGAAAGACUUGAUGAAUGCAAUUUGUCAAGCAUUCCAGAGAACCAACUGUGAUAGAAAUCAAGAAAACAAAAUUAACACCACGACCGACGUAAGAACACAAAACUUUUUAAUGGAUCAAGUAUUUUUGUCCGAAUCCAUCAUUCUCUCUCCUCCAAUUUGGUGCAGAAACAAUUCAAUUAUGUACAAGAACAGCCGAAUAUUAUGCAGCACAUGAUAAUUGGAACGACAGAUUGCAUGGUUUCCUCCAAGAGUAAAAAAAAGUGCGUUUAGUAUUAGUUUACAUUCCGGUAAUGGUCGUCGAUGGUCUCGCACAAGUAUAAAAUGAAUGCGUGGGUUAGUUUAUUUAGGUUUAUUUAAUGUUGUGACUGACUGACUGACUGACUAUGCAAAAGUGUAAUUAUCAUUUUGUUGUGUUACACAUUGCGUAUUAUUAUUGUUAUUACUCACUACAUAUAAUAAGUCUUAUGUAUGUAGGACUACAUUAUCCAAAAGGCAAAGUCGGUAGUGGAAAUAAUCGGAAUAUAGUUGCAGUAGUAGUGGUGGUAGUAGUAGAAGUAGUAAAAGUUAAAACGAGUAUGAAUGAUGAUCUUUACUCAAUACUAUAAUAUUAUAUGCAAUAAGUGAUCAAGUAAUAACACGAGAACAACGAUAGGUAGUAAGUAUGUAAGUAGGAGAUGGAGAUACUCACUCACACUUCUUUCACAGUUUUGUUUUGUUCUGUUUUUCUCUUUUCUGUUUGAUGUUACAUAUAAAGUGUAAGUCAGUAAUGCGGUUGUGUGAUGAUGAUGAUAUGAUAUUACGAAUAGGGAGAAAAACGGUCCGUGUUGUGUGUGCAAUGUAGUGUCUCCUCGUCUUGUGUGGAUUGGAAUUUAUAUGUAAAGUCAAAACCCAGUGUUGUGUAGACUUUGAGGAGUAAUGUGUAAUAAUAUAUAAUAUGUAAUGUAAUGCAAUGCAAUAUAUGAUGAGAAGAACGGUGUCCGUACCAAAUAUGCGAAGAGGAGUUGAUAGGAUUCGAUACGAGACCAGUACCAGUAACCAAAUAAUAAGUAUGUAAGCAAACCAGGGAAGAUGGGAAUAGUAUUAGCCAACAGGGCACACAUACACACACAGAGAGAGAAUAGAAUAAUAGUUGAUAGUACCUUACUUUACUGUUGUAUGUUGUAAUAAUGUAAAAGUAAGUAAAGUAGUAGUAAGUAAGUGGUGAACGCGCUAUGUCCUGGUCGUCCUAAACCGUACUAAAGUCGGAGGUCUCUCCCCACUACUACUUUUUGGUCGGUCGGAUAUGUCUAUCCGCCCAUUGGCUGCUGCCUCGGCUUUAUUAUCGUACUUGGUGUGGAGUCGGGCCUGCUGGAUAAGUAUGGAGAAGACUGCUUUAACGCUGGAGAGAAGGUCGUCCUCGCCGCUCCGAGUCGGUCUGAUAUGCGCUUCAGACUUUGGUACUAAUAAUGGUGCUGGAUGUUGGACCUAGCCCCCUCGUGCGUUCACGUAUAUGAUGUACAACCCAAGUCCUUCAGGCGAAGAAGGAAAGUUCGCUUUAACGAAGUUCCAAAUAUAUCCAACCUGCAAAAGAGAUGAAGCCAAGCCAAACCAGCAGCAUCAUGAUGUGGAGGGCGAGGAUGGAUAGGAUUUUAAGAGGAUGGAUGGAUGGAUGGAUGAAUGCAUGCAUGCAUGCAUGGAGGAUAAUAAAUAUCAGACCCAGACGUGGUGGAUAGUAGUAAAAAGGUUUUAGAUUUCCUCAUUUGUGGAGCACCCUUUCUGGAUUUCAUGGAACUCCAACCUUUCUAUAAGAGUCGACAACAACAUGAAGCGAGACCGUCGGACCAGGCUGUCCGUCAGUGCAUGUUUUUGUAAGAAGCCUUCCCAAAAGAGCGAGAGGGAGUGAGAAGAAGCCCAGCAGGGCAAAGUUUUCAAGAUAUUGGAGCUAAUGCAUAUCCACUUUAUACGAAGAAAGAACCCCAGGCAGUCAAGCAAGAGAGACGAAGAAGGGUAACAAAUGUGAUAUACGGAAUGCUAUGCUUGACAGCUUGGGGUUAUAAUAAAACCGUCCGGAACUGAUGCCCAGCCAGUCUUCUUCCCUCCCUCGCUAUUCCUCCUAUUACAGAGAAUUCCACUCUAAAAGCAUGACUUGCCUUCCAUCCUUAUGAUGAUGACGAGUAGGCGUUUGAAAUAUUAUUUCUCGUCGUCUCCUCUUCUCUCGUUAGUGGCAUGGACCCGGUUUAAUACUUGGCUUCGUACCAGACAUGGUUCAAAUUCAAAUGGUAUAAACCUAGCAGGUAGUCGUCAACGCUUAAGUACGGGCUCCACUUGUACAAGUCUCACGUUUAUUUGCAUUCACUUAAUACUUCUCUUUUUGGAUGGAUUCCACUUGAUACGAGUUCUUGGAGACCUAUGGACCAGUAGCAAAAGUAGUAUAUACAGACCCAAAAAGGUCCUCCCUCCUGUUUUCAUUGAUCCGAAAUUCGGAAACGGAGAAAGCCGACGAUGUCGGGACUCAUGAAAACAAGGUCCCGCCAUAUCGCAUCGCCUUGCCAAAAAAAACUUUUAUGUGGCAUUCGUCGAGUGUUCCUGGAAGAAGGAAUGCUGCUGCAUCAUCAUCAUCAUCACGCUUUAUUUACACUUGGGAGAAAUACGAACCCGGAUAGAUUGAAAGAAUGCAAAUGCCAUUAAAAAAGUCGGCUGGAGCCCUAGGACAGACGAAGCGAGGGACGCUUUGUAAAUCAGGAUUAUUUUUUAUGCGGGUUUGAGGAAAUGAGAAAAUGAAAUGAGGAGGUGAAAGCAGAAUUUCUGAAUAUCUGAUUUCAUAUAUAUAUAAAAAGGUACAAUUUCCAAAUCUAAAAUCAGACUGGAGUAUAAUCAAUCAACUUUCUCACACUCGUCAAAUCCAUUCACUGAAACUUCACUCACUGCUCAAUUCCUCAUUUUCUGCCAAAUACAUACUUUCAUCCACUUGAGAAAAAGUAGUUUCACCAGCUCUCUGAUUUCACUAUUUUUCCCAGUUUUGAUCUAUUAGAUGAUGACUGCCUAUGUAAGUAUGAGUGGUAGGGAGGAAAAAUAGUAUCAGAUUUCUGUUGACUCAGCUUUUUCAUGGCAUGAAAUUGUCCCCGAGUUGGCAAGGACUUCAAAAAUCACGAGUUAUUGCUUUGCAUGCACUCGUCGUAUGUAAAGUUUGUUGAGUAUGUGACGUGUGAUGGCCGGCUUAAAAAUCAUCAUAAUUCUCUAAAAGAUUAUGUGUUUGUCAUUAUCAGCAUCUUAUUUAAUCUUGUUGUGUUGUGUCCGUUGGACUUAAGAAAUUUCCAACCUUCCACUUCCCAGGCAUUCUGUUGGAUUUUACUUCCUCCUUGAGAUACCUAAUGACAUGUGUACACACCCUUUUCAUUUGUUUUAACAAAACCCAAACCUGCCAUCCUGUUAAUCUGAUAAAGCCACCAAUAUAUGCACAGCACAUAGCAAAUAAACGACACCAGUUACAUUCAGUCACAAAACA